rnacentral:rRNA from 1 species
AGACGUCUACAUUAGAUACCCGGGUAGUCCCAGCCGUAAACUAUGCGCGUUAGGUGUAUCGGUGACCACGAGUCACCGAGGUGCCGAAGGGAAACCGUGAAACGUGCCGCCUGGGAAGUACGGUCGCAAGGCUGAAACUUAAAGGAAUUGGCGGGGAGCACAACAACGGGUGGAGCCUGCGGUUUAAUUGGACUCAACGCCGGGAAGCUCACCGGAUAAGACAGCGGAAUGAUUGCCGGGCUGAAGACUCUGCAUGACUAGCUG